AAUAUUGGACAAUGGGGCAACCCUGAUCCAGCCAUGCCGCGUGUGUGAAGAAGGUCUUCGGAUUGUAAAGCACUUUAAGUUGGGUGGAAGGGCUUGAGGCUAAUACCCCGACGUUUUGACGUUACCAACAGAAUAAGCACCGGCUACCGCUGUGCCAGCAGCCGCGGUAAUACAGAGGGUGAAAGCAGUAAUCGGAAUUAGUGGGAGUAAAGCGCGAGUAGGUGGUUCAGUAAGAUGGGUGUGAAAUACCCGGGCUUAACCUGGGAACUUCUUUAAUAACUGCUGAGCUAGAGUACGGUAGAGGGUAGUGGAAUUUCCUGUGUAGCGGUGAAAUGCGUAGAUAUAGGAAGGAACACCAGUGGCGAAGGCGACUACCUGGACUGAUACUGACACUGAGGUGCGAAAGCGUGGGGAGCAAACA
rnacentral:rRNA from 1 species